UGAAGAAAACAAAGUACAGUCUACCAAAAAUCAUGAAACAGACUCACUUAAGUUCACUGCUCACAGGGAAUAAAGUUUUAAAAAAUAACCCGAAAGUUCAGAUUAAAGGCAAUACUUCUUAUUCAUUUGUUUUUAUUUCUAAUUCCUCAUCAGUUAUAUAACUUUGGUCUUUUUAAAAAGAAUUUAUUUGUAAAUAAGAGUAAUGAGUUGGCAGUUGAAUUUGGGUCUGACCAUUUUACCUGAGCAAUGAAAAAACAAAUGCCACAGAGGCCUGUAAAACUGUUUAACUCUCCGUUGGCAAUUCUCUUGUGUCCCCCUGAGAUUGUCUAAUUACAGAGCAAUGCUAGAAGUAUUCUUCAUUUGUAGAUUAAUUAGUUGAUGCCUAAGCAGCUCUCUGAACAUAAAAGGCAACAUGUAAAUCUAAGUAUAAUUAUUCAUCCUCAAGCUAAUGAUCAUUUAAUUAGUGUUUUCUGCUAGUUUAACGGCCCAUAAAGAAAAAGGCAAUUUGGGGAAGGGGCUUCUACCGUUGAGAUAAGCGAGGUUUAGUCCUGUAGAUCUAAUUAGAGUGAAAAAUAAUGUUUAAUGUUCAAAGAAAAAGAUUUUAAAACUGGAAAUAAAUUGGAAAUUGACUCUCUCCUAUCCUGAUGCCUAAAAGCCCUAAGGGAACUGGAAAUGAAGCACAGCUUUUGUCAUCAUUUGCAUUUUUCCUGAAUUAGGAAUCACGGUUUGAAUGGGGCUAAUCUGAUGUUUUGUGGCAAGUGUAAAGGCCUACCUGAGAUGAAGUUUAUAGAGCAGAAAAGAUGCUAACUCUGGGGUGUCCGUACAUGUUAUGAAGGCGCUUCUGUCCUCUUUGUAAAAUAGGAUACGAGUUUCCUAAAUAGGAAAUCAUAGUCAAGUUAAAAGCCAUCAGAUAAAGCUAAGCGUUUUGCAAAGUCCCGGCAUGGUUUUUUAAGUUAGUUGUCUCUAUAUUUCCCCUACUAGAUUAUACAGCCAAAGCCGUACAUUAUCUUUCUCUUCCUAUUUCCAGCCUUAUCCAGCCAAUAUUAAGUAUUCAUUGAGUCAGUCGAUGAACAGUAACGAGAAAUAGACGUAUACAACUCAGAGGAGCAAGUAUGCCCCUGGGCGCAUAAAGUAUUCCUCUGAACUUAAAAAAAAUACUACGUCAAAGAUGUGAAAAAGCUCUGUCACAUGUUCUCCAUUCACAAGUCCCUGUUCUGAUGCUGGGUCGUUAAGACAAACAUCAUUACACAGAGACUGUCCAGACAACAUUCUCAAGCAGCCCGGCACUAGAAGCAGCUGCCCUGGUUUAUCUAAUCAAUGUCCGCAUCGGGUGACUUCUUUCAGCCACCGUUUUCUCAGCUAUGCAAUGGGGCAGUUGUCACAGUUAAAUGGAAUGAUCGUAAAUCAUACAGAAUUAAAUUAUUCAAUAAAUGUCAGCCAUAGCCACAUCAGCUGUUUUCUUUUUAUAGGAACUUUGAUUUAAGAAAGAAAAAAAAAUUUUUAACUUUGCUGAAAAUAAGUGUAGCUUUACCCUCCACGGACAAGAAUUUUCUUUGCCAACUGAUAAUGCAAGUGGCAUAAAGGCAAUAUUAGAGAUCAUAAUACCGGUAUCACGUGAUCAUAAGAGGCACGCCUGACACCUAAGCAUCAGGGAAUGCUGUAAAAAUGAAACAUUCAAAAAGAAGUUUAAAAAAGAAAAAGGCAAAAGCAAUUAUGAAGUUAUGUCACAGCAGCUUUUUAUCAAAAGGAGAAAAAUACAAAGACUGCAAAGAAUUUAACAGUGAAGUAAACUACAGGGUCAUUGCGAAUAUAAUAAUAAUGUUAUUUGAAGUUUUACUUAAAAAAAAAGAGGCACGUAAAUAAUAAGUGGGAGUUGAGAAUCUUAAAGUACCCAAAAGUCUACCUUGUGUUUCAGAAGGAUGUUUCUCAUCUUCCUUUUAAACUCAUGAAGAAAUUUCUAAAUUUAAUUUCCUCAAAAAUCUCCACAUCUACACCAGACACUAUAGAAGAGUCAAGCAUUCCUCACUCAAUAAGCUGUAAUACAGCAGCAUUUGACCAGGUUACAAAACAUGCUUCUCAAGAAACUCUGUUGGAAAGGUCCUUGCAAAGGUUGGGCACCCAGAAUCUAUACUGCCAUUGGACCCACAGGUAAGGCAUAGGAUUCACAAAACACUUUCUCCUGGGACUUUUGUGAUAAGGGGUGUUGCGUGGUUUAGCCUGCAACGCCUCUUAUUUCUUGACCACUAUUAUCACCAACUUCUACAGUGUAUAAAAGAUCUUGGUCUCUGCUCCUGAAAUCAUAUGGGAGAACAGCAGAAAAUAUAUUUCAAUCUGAGUAAAAUACCAGUUUUUAGAAAGCCUGAAUCUGUUUAGAACAAGGCUGGAGAAAACAGAUAUUGGUAAUGCCAAUAACUUGAAAUGUACACCCAGAAAAAAGCCUCCACUUGAUAAAUAAUAUAUUCAAUGAAUCUUAAAAGUGUUGUCUAAAAUUUUUCCUUGGCUCCUGUUCUGAAUAUAAAUGCUUUCUGUAUUUGCUCAAGACGAUGAGGAUUAAACAAAUAGUAAUAAUCCAAAAACAGAACAAAAUUUUCAUCACUGAUGAUUUCAUGGAAACAUGAAAAUAAUGUACAGCAAACAAACAAACCUAAACAAGAGGCACUGAGAUUCUGCGUCAUCAACUUUAAAGAUUAAUUGGUGAAACCAGAUUAAAACAUGGGAGUGCCCGUUUAUAGAAAUGACAGGCAUCGUGAAAUGCAAGAGAGUCCCCUUUUAACAUAGGAAGCCCAGGGAAACAGAGUGAAAACCUGAGGAGAUCGCACUCAAAUAAUUAAAGUACAAAUGUAUUUCGCCGAAGACUCUGAUUCCAGACAGCUGCCCUCACUGUCCUUCUCCCGCUUUUAUUGGAGUCUCCAAAACCAUUUUGCUUUGGGGGAGAAAGUAGAUUUUUAGUAGAGUGGGAAAAAUGCCAAACAUCCAUGGCAACUUAGAAUUUUUCCACUUUCUUUACAUGUUCAAUUGAGACCUUCAUAAAAUUAUAAAUGAAAGGACACAUUAUGAGCACUUUCUUUGAAGGGGAAGAAAAAAAAAGGGGGUCUUGCCUGGAAGUAAAAUUUUGGAGUCUAUAUCCUUCUUCUCUGGAGAACACUUGGGAGAUUUUUCUGCCAACAGCAGGGCCCCUAAAAGAGCUUGUCUUUGCCUUCAGAAUUCAAAAAGGUAGAACCACCAAUUGUUCCCCUGACUGUGGGUGAGACGGUGAGCACCAGGAGGGGACUGGAAAGUUCUGGGCUCCGUGUUGGUGUGUCUCAGGGGCUGAGGUCAGUGUGUCUUGGCGUCUGCUUUCCAGCUCCCCCCCUCUUCCCUCUUCCCUUCUUCCCUCCCCCCUCACCAGGGAUUCACUCCUGUUUACUUUGGGGAGACUGCAACUUCUGUUUCUUAACAUUUAAAAGAAGUUUAAAAGCUUAUAAAAAGGCUCUUAAGAUUUCUUGGACACUGAAUGCCUCUUACAGAACAAUAUUUUGAUGAGUUAAGUGUAAAUGAAUCAGAAACCUACGUAUUAAAUUUCUCUUGACAUACACAUCAGUUUAAAAAAUUAAUGGAAAAAGUGCCCGGGGCUCAAAGUGUUUUGGGGUUUUCUCAAACCCAAAAUGCUUGAACGUGCAGAGUGGAAUUCCAUUUGAGUCAGCCAGGUUUGCUGAACACCUCCCCCACACCCCAAAACCCCUAGUUAUAGUGGAGGGAGUAGCAUUUCCGGACAGUGACCGACUGGCUAGGGACAUGUCACAUUCCCGGUCAUUAUGCCUGGGACGCAGCAGAAGCCAAAGCCUGGGCUGAUGCUGUGGAGAUGCCCAGCCUCUGUUCACUGAAGGCUGACCCUAAAUGCUGUUUUUUGUUGUUUUUUUUUUUAAGAUGAAGGAAACUAAAUAAACAAUCACCCAAGAUCAUAAAUCACUGACAAAGAUAUUUAGAUUUGAAACUAGCCUCGAAAACAGAAUGUGCCAUGAUUUGUCCCUCAAAGAUUAACUCUGCUCUGGGUCCUAUAAUUGUGGAGCCCAUGACUUCUGAUGAUAAAUGAAUGGCACAAGGGUCAAAACUUGAGAACCAGUAUAGUUUUGGUGGGUUUUUGUUUGUUUGGGUUUAAUACUUAUUGUGGGUCCAAGAAAAUACCCAUGGAAACACAACCAACCCAAAAUCCUGAAAACCCAGACUUGAUCUCUAAAAUCAUCACUCUUCCGAUUUUUUUUUUUUUUAGUUUUCCGUUUCUUUUGCUUUUGUUCUGUGAGCGGAUGAGCAGCUGACUCGGAAGACUGAGCCAGGUAAAUAAGAUUUCACUGCUGUCCUUCUGCGAUCUGAUCAUCUGGGGAUGCGUGUCAUAGAUAUUAGAACUGGGAGCGGUUGCUAACUUCCUGUGUGUCCAGCAGACCACAAACACAGUUGUGCUGCCAAGGAAGCAGGAGGCCUGCCUUAGGCAUCUUUAUCCCCAGCACUAACCUCAGGGGCCAACAGGGAGGGAUCAUGGCUUUGAGCUCACGCCUGACAGAUCCUCAAGCUAAUACUCCUUUGGCUAAAGCACGGGAAAGCUUUCUUGUGAACCACGAUGAGCUGUUAUUUUCAAAAUUCACACCCUCCAACUCCAUCAGAUUACACAAUCCCCAGGAUUCUCGAGGAGGCCUGUGAUAAUCUCUAGCUCAGGAAGCCUGGAGAUGCAGGGGAGUUUUCUUAGGACAGAUCUGUGUCUUGCUCUUCCUUUCUCAAAGAAGCACGUUCUCAAAAGCCUCAAGGGCAUUGAGGGAAGGGGAGGUGAUCUUAAGAGAAAUACACCUUUUAAAUACAAUGUUUAGCCUUAUUCCACCAUGAGCAUGUGCUGUACCCAUGUUUGUUGAAUGAAUAAGUGAGUGACUGAGCGCAGACCACAGCCCUUUCACAGGAACGUUGCAAGGAUGAUGACAAGUUAACAGAUGGUCAGAGACAAGCAUAAUACGGAUUCCCUCCACCUCAAACAGCCGUCCCCUCACCACAAGCCCCUCCUCCACACGAGAGAUGACUACCGGGGUUUCGUUCCAGCUAAGAGGAAACGCUACCACCAUCAAAGACCAUUAACAAUAGAACCUGGGUAAUAAAAAAAAAGUCUAACCUUUUAGCACUUCCGACCUGAGUUUCUAGAGGAAAACUGUUGGACAACACCUCAAUUCAAGAUGGCGAGGUGUGAGGAGCGUGCGGAGAAGCUGCGCAGGGAACUGAGCUCUGGAGCCUCGAGCAGCGCAGCUGCGCCUACCCCGCGAGAACUCUGCCCCUUCCAACGAGAACUCCUGCCUUUCCCGCGAGAACUCUGCCCCUUCCCGCGAGAACUCUGCCCCUUCCCACGAGAAGUCUGCCCCUUCAUGCAAGAACACCGCCUCUUCUGUCGAGAUUUGCAUCCCUCUCUCCAGGGUCAGGAACCUUAUAAAGCAGCCCUACCCCGCUGAGCCUGUCCAGAGACCCUGAGCGUAAGAGCAUGAGCUUCCAUCUCUCCAUCCUUACAACAGAGACUAAAGCUUUCCUUUGCUUCUGGCUCCAAGGACACCGGGCAGGAGGACGCUUGUUAACGGCCUGACUCAGAAGGACUGAAAGCAAACGCUGGUGAUCAUUCUCGCUUCUCAGCUGACGUGCACACCUCUACCUGCAGCCUGUGGCUGGUGAGAGACACACCCCAAGCAAAAGCACUGGAGAUUGGCCAAAACAUUGAAUGGUCCACAAUUUAAAAACAUUUCCUCCACCAACUGGAAAUUCCAUCCACUGAAUCACUUUGAUUAUACAUUACUAGAAGAUGGGAAACUCCAUAAGGACAGGGAUGGUAGCACUGAAUCCCCAGCAUCUAGCUCAGUAACUCUUUUUGAAUGUUGAAAAAUUCCAAAUGCACAAGAAGAGAAAAACAAAUAUGCAGGGCUGGGCUGGAGCCAGCCUGUCCUCACUCAUGGGGGCUGACCAUCCAGUCCACCAGAAUUCUGCAAGCCAGUUUUUAAGCACGGCCACUACUAGAAGUUAAAUUCUGUAAACUUAACACUUAAAUAAAUCAUA